GUUUCUUGCUUUGAUAAUUAGUCACUUCAACUUCUUCACUCACUCUCUCGUUGUCGCGCCGUUGCAACGUUUCUUUCUUUGAAAUCUCAAACCCUAAUUUCUUGUUUGUUCCACAAUUUCUCAAUCAAUUGCUCAUCAAUUUCUCAAUCAAUUCCACAAUUCAAACCCUAAUUCACAACACCAUGGUCGAUUUUGCUUCUCAUCAUCAUCCAACCCUGUUUUUCAACAAGGGUGAUCAUCAUCUCGAUGAUCUUCAAACUGAUAAGAAGAAAACAUUCAACUCUGCCAAAGCACACACAACCUCCAAACCUGUUCUUCAACCACCUCAAACAAACGAUCAAAAUCGCAUCUUGAAGAUCACCUUUUUCUCCUCUUCUGUUCGUAACAAGGAGAAACAACAACAGGAGAAACCUUAUUUGUGUCGUGUUUGCGAAAGGGCUUUUACAUCCAUCCGAGCUUUGAAUGGACAUAUGAGAUGUCACAGUUCCAAGAAGGGUACUUCUCCAUUUUUGACUUGUCAUGAUGCUAUUGACUUGUCAAGGUUUUUGCCCCCAAAAACCUACAAGACCCGUAACCGUUCCAAGAGAUUUGUCAUUGAUGAUGAUGUCCGUGAGGUUGCUCAAUCAUUGUUAGAUAUGUCUUGUGGGAAAUCGUUAUAUUUUGAUGCGGAUAAUCACGAUAACAACCGAAAAAGAUUGAAGCUUUCCGAUGAAAAAGCAAGGUGUUGAUGAUCCUUUGUCUAUUUGUGUUAAUUGAAUUGAAUGAACAGGAUUUUAUCAUCUUAUUAUUGUUAUAACUUGUGCAGUUUCGAUGUUUUGGUAGUGGAAUUUAUUCUUGUAUAUGAAGUAUAGAAUUGAAACACUUGAGUUUUUGUAUGAUGUUUUUAUGUUUGAAUUCAUAUUCUUACACUUGUUAUUGUUUAUUUCAUGUGUCAUUCUUUCAUGAAUUGAUGAGCAUAAAAGCAAAACCAAUGAUCCUUUGCCAAAGUCACCUAGAUUGGUAAUAACGGUUUCAUUAAGAUUUUGAAGCACGAGUGGACAGCAAGAUGGCGAAGCUUCAUUCCUGAUCUUGUCUCAGCAGAUAAAACUAGUGAAACAAUCUGCGAGAAUUGCAUGGCUAUACUGAAACUUUUGAGUGAAGAGGUUUUUGAUUUUUCGAGAGGAGAAAUGACACAGCAGAAGAUAAAAGAGCUUAAACAUUCAUUGAACAGGUAGCUGUUAAAUGCUUAAUGUAUUCUUUCCUGCUUUCCAUUUCACUUAUCUUUCUUUUAAGUUGAGUGUCUGAAAGAUUAUAAGGUAAGUUAAUAAUGGUUUCAUUAAGGUAAGUUAAUAUUUUUGGAUUAUCACAAAAUCUACUGAUGAUCUCUCUGCUACUUUAUUGAUCAUUUGGAUUAUAAGGUAAGUUAGCUUUCCAUUAAGUUUUCUUAUCCGAUUCCAUCUAACUAAUUGAUUGCUAACUAUUCAUUUUUGCUGGUCAUUUUGGUUUUAAUCUUUAACACUUCUUGAUGCAUUCUAUUCCACCAUCACUAUAUGUCAUUUGUUAGACACAAAAUUUGCAAAGUUUUGUUCUGCCAAAGACAGGUUGGUAUGGUUAUUGAGCAAGCUUCAAGGACGCCACUGGCACCGUUCAGGAAAAAACCCUAGGAGCAAACAUCUUGAUCAGCAGGCCUGGUCGAUUACACGACAUGAUGAAUUGGACGAAUGUUUUGGAUUUCAAAAGUUGAGGUUGCUGAAGAGCUUGAUAAAACAGGAUUGAGGAACUCUCUGAGGGUUGAAGUUUGAGCAGAAACAAAAACAACAAAUGGGCAAUGGCAUGCAACAUCAAAACAAAGAGUCUUCAAAGACACUUUCGGGUCUUCACAUUGAGGAAUGGUAGAGAUUAAGAUGCUAACUGAUUAUGCAAGUGAAGAGCCUAAUAUGUGCCAAUGGAUGCAAGAGGAUAAAGAACUGUCUACUCAUGGUCAUUAUCUUUACUACGAGAUUGGAGAAAUUGAUAAAGAGCUUUAUUUGGUCAGGGGAUAUCACUCAAAGGAAGCUGGUAGUUGUUAGUUUAUCCUUCAUUGGCAAAACUGAAUAUCACCAAAUUGUUGAGUAAAGUUGAAACUCUAUUCAACUUGUAUAUCCCAAAUUGUUGAGUUGGUGAAUGUCUUAUAUUUGAACCUCUUUGCUUAGUGUGACAUAUAUAUAUGAUGUUGUUGGUAUUGGAACACCACCUUAUGGCAUCUCAUUGUUAUGAUGAUAGAUAUUGGACUUUUGAGAUUAUAAAUUUAUGAUGCCAUUUGUUUAGCCUUA